GCUAUGUUGAGGGCGCGGCGAACGGCUCCGUAACACGUAGUUAACCUACCCUCGGGACGGGGAUAACCCCGGGAAACUGGGAUUAAUACCCGCUAGAUGAUUCUGCCUGGAAUGGCUUAUCAUCGAAAGGUGCUGGGAACAUGCUUCCAGCGUCGCCCGAGGAUGGGACUGCGUCCGAUCAGGUUGUUGGCGGGGUAACGGCCCACCAAGCCUAUAACCGGUACGGGCCCUGAGAGGGGGAGCCCGGAGAUGGAAACUGAGACAAGGUUCCAGGCCCUACGGGGUGCAGCAGGCGCGAAAUCUCCACAAUGCGCGACAGCGUGAUGGGGUUAUCCCGAGUGCCGUCCGAUGAGGAUGGCUUUUCAUCGGUGUAAGCACCCGAUGGAAUAAAGGGGGGGCAAGACUGGUGUCAGCCGCCGCGGUAAUACCAGCCCCCUGAGUGGUAAGGACGAUUAUUUGGCCUAAAGCGUCCGUAGCCGGCUUAACAAGUCUUUUGUUAAAUCCAACGAUUCAAUCGUUGGGCCGCAAAAGAUACUGUUAUGCUAGAGGACGGGAAAGGUCGACGGUAGUCCAAGGGUAGGGGUGAAAUCCUAUAAUCCUUGGAGGACCACCAGUGGCGAAGGCGGUCGACUAGAACGUGCCUGACGGUGAGGGACGAAAGCUGGGGGAGCGAACCGGAUUAGAUACCCGGGUAGUCCCAGCUGUAAACGC
rnacentral:rRNA from 1 species